CAGUAGCCGCGGGAAUACGGAGGGUGCAAGCGUUAAUCGGAAUUACUGGGCGUAAAGCGCACGCAGGCGGUCUGACAAGUCAGAUGUGAAAUCCCCGGGCUUAACCUGGGAACUGCAUUUGAAACUGUCAGGCUGGAGUCUUGUAGAGGGGGGUGGAAUUCCAGGUGUAGCGGUGAAAUGCGUAGAGAUCUGGAGGAAUACCGGUGGCGAAGGCGGCCCCCUGGACAAAGACUGACGCUCAGGUGCGAAAGCGUGGGGAGCAAACAGGAUUAGAUACCGGGUAGUCCCUGUCUCUUAUACC
rnacentral:rRNA from 1 species